UGGGGACUCGUCUAGCGGUAGGACAGCAGACUCUGAAUCUGCAUACUGAGGUUCGAAUCCUCGGUCCCCAGCCA
rnacentral:tRNA from 1 species